rnacentral:lncRNA from 1 species
AGCCACAGAGAGCCUGUAAAUUCCGCUAACCAGAAGGGCUCUCCCCGCCCCCUCUCCCCGCGCAGCUUGCUCUGCCCUCCUCCUCCUCCUCUCCGCCCACUCUCGCCGCGGUCUCCUGGCGGCGGCGGCUUUGUCUCGUGGGCUGGUCCCUGGCGGCUCCCUCCCCCGAACAGCUGCCACCAAGGGAAGAAGAGGCGCGGGAGCUGUCCAGCACCCCGGUGCUGAAACCUCGAGCGGCUCGUCAUCCACCACCACCAUGUAAGGGCCAUGAAAACGGCUCGUCCUGGCGCAGCGCGGACAUGGAGGAGGACUUAUUCCAGCUAAGGCAGCUGCCGUGAAGGAGAGAAUUAGGCCUGGAGGAGACAAGCCAUAUUCCUACCCCACCAGCUCACCCUCUGUAUCUCUGACUCAGUUCGAUUUUUCAGAUCCGUCAGAAUUUUAUGGAGACCUACAUGUGUUAUGUUUUUCCUUUGAAUUGCUCUCGAUCCUAAAGGGAUUUAGAGAUCUGUGUUUUAAGAAAACAUUAGCUGCUGUUUUGAAAUGUGGACUGAAUUGAUGAGUCCAUGCAAUGACAUGGGUCCUUUCCAGCCCUCCUUCUAUGCUGUGAAAUUCUUAAUGUUUCUGCAAGGUCUUUUAGAAGGGAAUGAGAGUAAUAUUGCAAACUGGUUUCUAAAGAGCGGGGAUUCCUUCCUAGAGAGGAGUCUUUGGCAAAGUCUUGUUUAUGAAGUGUGUGAAUGAGAGGGCUGCACAUCCUUGCUGAAACCUCUUGCCUUCUCCUGAAUGAAAGGCUUUGUAACAGCUGGCUGGAGUGAGACUCACUGUCAAGGGCUAUCCUUGGGAACUCAGAAAUACACUGCUUAGAAGCUUGGAAUUUUUCAGGGAUGCCAAAUUUGCUCUGGCAAUUUUGAGGGAAUCAAGCAGUGGAAAGGACAGGGGCCUUGUAGAGGGCUUACGAAUUUCUCUUACCGUAAGCUGAUGGUGAUUUGUUAAUAAGCAAAUUCCAAGAGUAUGAUAGGGCAUUAAAAAAAACAUUAACAGGGGUUUCCUUUUCAUUUUAAUAGGCACUAGCCAUUUGGCAAAAUGGUAAAAGUGAUUCAAUUUGGAAUUGUUGGAAAGGGUACAUUAUUGUUAGUAUGUAUGUAUUUUCUUGACUCAAUAUCUUUUUCUCUCUAAGCCACUAAGGAAUUCUCCCAAGUGACUUUUAGUGUGACUGAUACAGCUCUCUGAGGUGCUAAGCAAUGGAGGGUAUUGUAAUGUUUACUUCUUAAUCUGUGUAAAAUUAAUUUUCAGUGAAAUUUUUAAUUAAUUAAAUUUUUACCUUUAAGUUUUUAUUAACUGAUCCACAAAUAGCAUAUCUUAUGUAAUACAGCAUUAUUUCAAAAAUACUAAAGGAUACUUACUCAGUUGUAGUAUCCAGACUUCAUCUAUGAAUACAUAAAGAUGUACAUAUCUGAGGGCAUAUUUCUCAAAGAAACCAUACCACUUUCACUGAAAAUAAAUAUCAUGUUUAAGAACCAACCUGUUAUCUCAAAAUAAAAAAUAAUUCAGCAGCUAAAAAAUGAAAUUUGGUACACAGAAUAAGAAUAUAUUGGAACUUCAGUUUUACUAGGAUGAAAUUUCAAAUGCUGUUAGAGCAUGUGAACUUUGCAAGAUACUCAAAGAUUUAUGCAUAUUUAGUCUGCUAAUAUAUAGAUAUGGCACUAUAGUGACAAUUUCUUCCUAAAUUAAAAAACUAGUAAGUUUUAUUUAAUUUUUAAAAUUAGUUUAGUUUUUAUACUAAUAUAUACUAAUAAUAUAAUAUAUGCAUAGGGUAAAUAAGGUUCAAAAAGAAGCACAAGAAUAAAAGUUAGUCUCUCUCUUCCCAAACCCCAGUAUUGUUUCCGAAUUCUUUUUUUCUGAUUUUUAUAUAUAAGUACAUAUAAUAUCUACUAGAGAGGCCAAAUUGUGUACUGGUUAAGAGCAUUGGCUCUUGCAUAAGACAAAUUUGGCUUCAAAUCUUGACUGCCACUUCCUGGCCGUGUGACUUUGAGCAAGUGACUUAAUCUUUCUGAAACUCAGUUUCCUCAGCCAUAAAAUGGGAAUCAUAAUUGUACUUAAUUUAUAUGGUUAUUGGAAAGAUCAAAUGAGAUAAUUGUGCUAAAUGUCUGGCAGAUACAAAGAACUUAACACAUGUUAACUAUUAUUUUUAUUACACCUGAAUAAUAAUUUAUAAAAACAAACUAUGGCAGUUUCUUGGUGACCCAGUAGAUUAAGGAUCUGGCGUUGUCACUGCUGUGGCAUUGGUUCGAUCCCUGGCCUAGGAACUUCUGCAUG